rnacentral:rRNA from 1 species
CACCGCGGUUAUACGAGAGACCCUAGUUGUUAGAUGCCGGCGUAAAGGGUGGUUAAGGUAAAGCAAAAAUAAAGCCAAAGGGCCUCUUGGCCGUCAUACGCUUACUGAGUGUCCGAAACCCAAAAACGAAAGUAGCUUUAAUAUAGCCCACCUGACCCCACGAGAACUGAGAAA